rnacentral:rRNA from 1 species
UGGGGAAUAUUGCACAAUGGGGGAAACCCUGAUGCAGCGACGCCGCGUGAACGAAGAAGGUAUUCGUAUCGUAAAGUUCUGUCCUAUGGGAAGAUAAUGACAGUACCAUAGAAGAAAGCUCCGGCUAAAUACGUGCCAGCAGCCGCGGUACUACGUAUGGAGCGAGCGUUGUCCGGAAUUAUUGGGCGUAAAGGGUACGCAGGCGGUUUAAUAAGUCGAAUGUUAAAGAUCGGGGCUCAACCCCGUAAAGCAUGGGAAACUGAUAAACUUGAGUAGUGGAGAGGAAAGUGGAAUUCCUAGUGUAGUGGUGAAAUACGUAGAUAUUAGGAGGAAUACCAGUAGCGAAGGCGACUUUCUGGACACAAACUGACGCUGAGGUACGAAAGCGUGGGGAGCAAACAGG